AUAAUACUUCCUCCGUUCCAAAUUACUCGUCGCAGAAAUGGAUGUAUCUAGAACUAAAAUACAUCUAGAUACAUCCAUACCCGCGACAAGUAAUUUGGAACGGAGGGAGUAUCUU
rnacentral:pre_miRNA from 1 species